AGAACUCGGCGGACGGACCUGGAAGAUAUUGUCAAAGCUCGAACAUACAGUCGUUCUUGGAAGACACUGUUAAAUAACUCAGGGAAUGAUGGCAUAUAUAAUACGGAGCUAGAUAGCACGAGGCUUAUCUGUUAAUUGGUACCGUGAAGCAAGCCAAUGUUCGCGUGGAUGUGCUCGCAGUUCCUGGCUGGAAAGAGCGCCGAUGUUGCUCCCGUCCAGCGCCUCCCCCAUCGAUUGCUGCCGGAAAAUAGGAGUAAGCGGUGAAUCCAGAUCAAGGAGCAACUCAUCUUCCGCAUGCACUCCUCAUCCCCUACCACCAUCCUCCACGCUCUUCCCCAAUCGCCUCCAAUCGGAGCACCUCGUGAGCAGCGGAACACCUCGUGACGGCGUGCGUGCGGAGGGGCAGGGGCCGAUGCGUGGGUUCCCUCCGGCGGCGGCGAGCGGAAAGAGCCAGGAGGGCGUCGCCAUGCCGCUGACCGGCCGUUGGCGAUGGCCGCCGUUGCCGCCUCGCUGUGUUGUUCGUGUUUGCGAGAAGCUGGGCAGGAGUUCGGAUUGGCCGUCGUCCUUGUCGCAACUUAAGGGCGCCCAGCCGCAGUGGUCGGAGGACCGGGAUGCAGGCAGAAGGUCUGCGCGCCAUGUCUCAGAUCUGUCUAUUUGGGGUCAAUUUCUUUGUGUAGUGAAGGAUUCAGGUCAAUGGAGAUGGGGGAUGAAUCCUCUGCAGGCU